AUAUCCAACACAAAACCCUAGCCAUCUAAGCUUCUCGUAUUCAGUCGCUCCACCUCCCCUAAACUUUUGUAUUCGAUUAGGACUCCUAAAGAUGGAAAAAACAAAAGAAAAUUAGAAGAAAAGACUCCUCUAAGCUUUCCAAUUCGGCCACUCCAAGCCUCCCAUUCGAUUGGGGCUUCUGAGGAUGAAAAAAAUAGAGAAAAUCUGGGAGAAAAUGAAAGAAAAAGCAAGGAAAACAAAGGAACAACAGAAAAAAUUGAGAGGUAAGAUCUUUUCCCAUAUAGAUUGUUUUAUUUUUUUGGCUUUUCACUUCUUUUUUCUUUUCAUUUCUUUCUCUUUUUUUGGAGAUCUA
rnacentral:lncRNA from 1 species